GACGAACGCUGGCGGCGUGCUUAACACAUGCAAGUCGAACGGAAAGGCCCUGCUUUUGUGGGGUGCUCGAGUGGCGAACGGGUGAGUAACACGUGAGUAACCUGCCCUUGACUUUGGGAUAACUUCAGGAAACUGGGGCUAAUACCGGAUAGGAGCUCCUGCUGCAUGGUGGGGGUUGGAAAGCUUCGGCAGUUGGGGAUGGACUCGCGGCUUAUCAGCUUGUUGGUGGGGUAGUGGCUUACCAAGGCUUUGACGGGUAGCCGGCCUGAGAGGGUGACCGGCCACAUUGGGACUGAGAUACGGCCCAGACUCCUACGGGAGGCAGAAGUGGGGAAUAUUGCAAAAUGGGCGGAAGCCUGAUGCAGCAACGCCGCGUGCGGGAUGACGGCCUUCGGGUUGUAAACCGCUUUCGCCUGUGACGAAGCGUGAGUGAAGGUAAUGGGUAAAGAAGCACCGGCUAACUACGUG
rnacentral:rRNA from 1 species